rnacentral:rRNA from 1 species
AUGGCCGACUUCUCCUUCUCCCGCUCCGGCCCGCAGCCGCAAGGGCAGGCCCGCCGGCGCCAGGGCGCGCGCAGCCCCUACCCGACCCCGGACAACUCCACCUCCUUCGCCGGCGGGCGCGGACAGCGCCGCCGGGGGGGUGGCGGCUACGAUGACAUGUCGUGGCAGAGCUCCGUGUCCUGGCAGCCCGACACGUCGUGGGCGCAGCCGCACGGCCUCGGCGCCGCCGUCGGGCCCUGGGGCCUCGCCGGCUCCGACGCCGCCUCCCGCCGCGGCCCGGCGCUGUUCCAGCGCACGGCGCGGGACUACUACCUGUCCCGCCGGUCCGGGGCACGGACACACAGGGACCGCUCGUCGUCCAUGUCCACGGUGCACCGGCCCAGCGGCGCCGUCAGCACCGUCGCCGGCAAGCGGCUCGAGCUGCAGAGCGUCGUGACGGACGCGAGCCGGGCCGCCGCCGUGGCCCCCGACGUCUCCUUCGCCAGCAACGACGACUGCAGCAUCGCCGCGUCCGUCGCCCCUGCUGGCGCUGGCGGCGCCGUGGACAGGGCGAUGGUGAGAUACGGCGCCGGCGCCGGCGCGCGCACCCCGGUGUCCCGCGAGGUCUCCUUCUCGCGCGACAACCACAACAAGCUCUACGUCACCCCCGCCCCCGUGCAGCGGGACGUGCCCAGCUUCGGCUACGACGUGAGUGCCACGUCCUACAGCCAGAGCCGGAGCCGGUACUACGGCGACGACGCCGGCGGCGGCUACGAGGACGACGACGACGGCGAGGUCGAGCUGAGGGCCGGGAAGCCGGUCAGCGUCACCGGGCUGUUCAAGUACUCGACGCCGAUGGACGUCGUGCUGCUCGUGCUCGGGUGCAUCGGCGCCAUGAUCAACGGCGGCUCGCUGCCCUGGUACUCGUACCUCUUCGGCAACUUCGUCAACAAGAUCGUCGCCUCCGACAAGUCGCAGAUGAUGAAUGACGUCCGGCAGAUCAGCGUGUACAUGGUCAUCCUCGCCGUGGUUGUCGUCAUCGGAGCGUACCUCGAGAUCAUGUGCUGGAGGAUCGUGGGCGAGAGGUCGGCGCUGCGGGUGCGGCGAGAGUACCUCAAGGCGGUGCUGCGGCAGGAGAUCGGCUUCUUCGACACGGAGGUGAGCACCGGCGAGGUGAUGCAGAGCAUCUCCAGCGACGUCGCGCAGAUCCAGGAAGUCAUGGGGGAGAAGAUGGCAGGGUUUGUGCAUCACGUCUUCACAUUCAUCUUCGGCUACGUGGUCGGGUUCAGAACUUCAUGGCGGAUCGCGCUCGCCGUCUUGGCCGUCACGCCGGUCAUGAUGGCCUGCGGCAUCGCCUACAAGGCCAUAUACGGCGGCCUCGCCGCCAACGAAGAGGCGUCGUACCAACCUGCGGGCAGCGUGGCGCAGCAGGCGAUCAGCUCGAUCCGGACGGUGCUGUCGUUCGUGAUGGAGGAGCGGCUGGCCGACCGGUACGCCGAGUGGCUGCGCAAGGCGUCGCCGAUCGGCGUCAAGAUGGGCUUCGCCAAGGGCGCCGGCAUGGGCAUGAUCUACCUGGUCACCUACUCCCAGUGGGCGCUGGCGCUGUGGUACGGCGCCAAGCUCGUCGCCCAGCAGGAGAUCAAGGGCGGCGACGCCAUCGCCUGCUUCUUCGGCGUCAUGGUCGGAGGAAGGGGCCUGGCGCUGUCGCUGUCGUACUCGGCGCAGUUCGCGCAGGGGACGGCGGCGGCCGGGCGGGUGUUCGAGAUCAUCGACCGGGAGCCGGAGAUCGACCCGUACGGCGCCGGCGGGCGGGCGCUGUCGGCGGUGCGGGGCAGGAUGGAGUUCAAGGACGUGGAGUUCGCGUACCCGUCGCGCCCGGAGUCGCUCAUCCUCUACAACCUGAACCUGAUCGUCCCGGCGGCGAAGAUGCUGGCGCUGGUGGGCAUCAGCGGCGGCGGCAAGUCCACCGUGUUCGCGCUCAUCGAGAGGUUCUACGACCCCACCCGAGGGACGAUCACGCUGGACGGCCAGGACCUGGGGUCGCUGAACCUCAAGUGGCUCCGGUCGCAGAUCGGGCUGGUCGGCCAGGAGCCCAUCCUGUUCGCCGUCUCCAUCAUCGAGAACGUGAUGAUGGGCAAGGAGAACGCGACGAGGCAGGAGGCCAUCGCCGCCUGCACCAAGGCCAACGCCCACACCUUCGUCCUCGGCCUCCCCGACGGCUACGACACGCAGGUUGGUGACCGUGGGACCCAGCUGUCGGGGGGACAGAAGCAGCGCAUCGCGCUGGCGCGCGCCAUCAUCCGGGAGCCGCGCAUCCUGCUGCUGGACGAGCCCACCAGCGCGCUCGACGCCGAGUCCGAGGCCGUCGUGCAGCAGUCCAUCGACCGCCUCUCCGUCGGCCGCACCGUCCUCGUCAUCGCGCACCGCCUCGCCACCGUCCGCAACGCCGACACCAUCGCCGUGCUCGACCGCGGGGCCGUCGUCGAGUCGGGCCGCCACGCCGACCUCAUGGCCCGCGCCGGCCCCUACGCCGGCCUCGUCAAGCUCGCCUCCGACGGCGGCAGGUCCGACCCUGCCGUCGCCCCCGGCACCCCUGGCACGCCCGGCGCGGCGGGGUACAACAGCUUCACCGACAACUCGGGGUACGACGUGUCGGUCUCCAAGUCGAGGUACGGCGGCAUUCGCGCGAUACAGGAGGAGGAGGAGGCGGACGCCAAGGACGCGCGCGGCCGCAAGGCCGCCGCCAAGUUCAGCGUCUCUGACAUAUGGGAGCUGCAGCGGCAGGAAGGGCCGUUGCUCAUCCUGGGGUUUCUCAUGGGCAUCAACGCCGGCGCCGUGUUCUCCGUGUUCCCGCUGCUCCUGGGCCAGGCCGUCCAGGUGUACUUCGACCCCGACACGGACAAGAUGAGGCGGCAGAUCGGGUACCUGGCCCUCGCCGUCGUGGGUCUCGGCUUUGCCUGCAUCCUCACCAUGACGGGGCAGCAGGGCUUCUGCGGCUGGGCCGGCGCCCGGCUCACCAUGCGCGUCCGCGACCGCCUCUUCCGCGCCAUCAUGCGCCAGGAGCCCGCGUGGUUCGACGAGGAAGACAAUGCCAUGGGCGUCCUCGUGACACGGCUCGCCAGGGACGCCAUCGCCUUCCGCUCCAUGUUCGGCGACCGGUACGCCGUGCUGCUCAUGGCCGUGGGCUCCGCCGGCGUCGGCCUCGGCAUAUGCUUCGGGCUGGAUUGGCGCCUCACACUGAUUGCCAUGGCAUGCACUCCACUCACGCUCGGCGCGAGCUACCUCAACCUGCUCAUCAACGUCGGCGCCAGGUCCGACGAAGCCGCGUACGCGCGGGCCAGCAGCAUCGCCGCGGGCGCCGUGUCGAACGUGCGCACCGUCGCGGCGCUCUGCGCGCAGGGCGGCAUCGUUGGCACGUUCAACCGGGCGCUGGACGGCCCCUCGGCCAAGGCCCAGCGCAAGUCGCAGUACAUGGGCAUCAUCCUCGGCCUCUCCCAGGGCGCCAUGUACGGCGCGUACACGGUGACGCUCUGGGCGGGCGCCUACUUCAUCACCAAAGGCUGGUCCACCUUCGGCGACGUGUCCAAGAUCUUCCUCAUCCUCGUCCUCAGCUCCUUCUCCGUCGGCCAGCUGGCCGGGCUCGCCCCGGACACCUCCGGCGCGCCGACGGCCAUCGCCGGCAUACUGUCCAUCCUGAAGCGGCGGCCGACGAUCAACGAGGAGGGCACGAAGCGGCGGACGAUCAAGGACGGGAAGCCGAUGGACGUGGAACUGAGGAAGGUGAUCUUCGCGUACCCGUCGCGGCCGGACGUGACGGUGCUGAACGACUUCUCGCUGCGCGUGAAGUUCGGGAGCACGGUGGCGGUGGUCGGGCCGAGCGGGAGCGGCAAGUCGACGGUGGUGUGGCUGGUGCAGCGCUUCUACGACCCGCUGGGGGGAACCGUGACGGUGGGCGGCAUGGACGUGCGGGAGCUGGACCUCAAGUGGCUCAGGGGGGAGUGCGCGAUGGUGGGCCAGGAGCCGGCCCUGUUCAGUGGGUCUAUCAGGGAAAACAUUGGGUUCGGCAACCCGAAGGCCGCGUGGGCCGAAAUCGAGAAUGCUGCGAAGGAGGCCAACAUCCACAAGUUCAUCGCUGGGCUUCCCCAAGGCUACGACACUCAAGUUGGGGAGAGUGGGGUGCAGCUGUCAGGUGGUCAGAAGCAGAGGAUCGCCAUCGCGCGAGCAGUCCUGAAGCAGUCGAGGAUACUGCUCCUGGACGAGGCGAGCAGCGCGCUGGACCUCGAGUCCGAGAAGCACGUGCAGGAGGCGCUGCGACGAGUGUCGCGGCGCGCGACGACGAUCACGGUGGCGCACCGCCUCUCCACGAUCCGCGACGCCGACCGCAUCGCCGUGGUGAGCGCCGGCAGGACCGUGGAGUUCGGCAGCCACGAGACCCUCCUCGCGAACCACCGCGACGGCCUCUACGCCGCCAUGGUGAAGGCCGAGAUCGAGGCGCAGGCCUUCGCGUAG